rnacentral:rRNA from 1 species
GUUAGGAAUAUUGGACAAUGGGCGCAAGCCUGAUCCAGCCAUGCCGCGUGAGUGAUGAAGGCCUUCGGGUUGUAAAGCUCUUUAGUCCACGAAUAUAAUGACUGUAGUGGAAGAAUAAGCCCCGGCUAACUUCGUGCCAGCAGCCGCGGUAAUACGAAGGGGGCGAGCGUUAUUCGGAAUCACUGGGCGUAAAGCGUGCGUAGGCUGUUUUGUAAGUCAGAAGUGAAAGCCCAGGGCUUAACCCUGGAAUUGCUUUUGAAACUACAAGACUCGAAUUCGGGAGAGGAUAGCGGAAUUGUCAGUGUAGCAGUGAAAUGAGUAGAUAUUGACAGGAACACCAGUGGCGCAAGCGGCUAUCUGGACCGAUAUUGACGCUGAGGCACGAAAGCGUGGGGAGCAAACAGGAUUAGAAACCCCAGUAGUCC